UCAUGCCAUGGAUUUUUCAGAUUGCUUCAAACUCAACCUAGACAAAAUAAAGAAUUUUGGGUGGUUGACCGGCCGCUUGUAGAUGGUUUCGGUUUCGGAAUUUUGGGUGGUUGUUCGGCCGCUGGUAGGUGGUUUCGGUUUCGCGGCUUGUAGACGUUUCGGUGGUUGUUUUUCUCGAUUUUCUGCUACACGUCGAUUUAAGGUUUGGAAAAGAUGCAGUAUUUGGAAAUUAUUUCGACGCUCCCUAUAAAGAGCAUCUUUGUAAGGUACUUAGUGCAUGUCGUUGGGCACAAGUGCAUGUCGUUGGAUCGUCUUCUUUGAGAGAUAUCGAAGACACCACCUUCGAGGUACAUUGAUUGGGAUACGUGCUCUGUUUUCUUGAAUGGAACUGUUUGUUGGCUUUGCAGAUAUCCCGACAUAUUUAAUUUUCAUAGUUUUCUUCGAUUUUGAUAGGGAGAAAUUUGGCGAGAUUUUGCUCACGCGUAGCUAUGGGGUGGACCAGACAUUGAAUAGGCAGAGCAUGAAUAUCGGAGCUCUUGGAGGUAAUCUCUGUGUGACUGAUGAUACUUUUCAUUCCGAUAUAUGGGUCAUGAAGGAAUGCGUAAAUCGAGAUUUGUGGACAAAGGAGUUUGUUAUUGAUUCAGCGGUUCAUAGGGGCGAACCCAUCGAUGGACCUUUUAAGCCGCUGCAGUUUCUUAAAAACGGCAAGAGAUUUGAUGCUGUGGAAUUGUGAUAAUUUGGUUUGCUACCAUACGAAAUAGAAGGAGUUCCGGUUUCUUGAUUUCGGUGGGGUUAGAACUGUUUGUAAGAUUGUUCCUUACCCUCCUAGCUUCGUUCCUCUGAAGGAAUCUCUCAUGGUCGACAAUUUGGCAGUGCAGAAUAUGCCUCGAGGUAUGGUCUUUUAUGGUUUGAUUUACUCGUAAAAAAUAUGCUUAUAUACAUUUCAAGUUAAUAUCAGAUUUGUACAUUUUUAUGAAUUUUAUAUAACAAUUGUUGGUUCUGUUUGUUGGCAGAUGAUCCGGACCCGAGUGAAGAUCCAUAAUUUCCGAGCAAAAGUCGAUGCAUAAUCUGCGAUAUGUAUUUCUAUAUUUUGUCUUGAAUCUUGUACCGUUUCUUAUGUUUCUAUGUAGCUUUUGAUCAAGUCUUAAAUUUGGUAUUGUAUUUAUGUAAUGUUCAGUUACAAUGUUUGAAUGAGUGUGAUUGUAAUAAAAUUUGGGAUCUCCAUACCUUCUAAGUUUAAUUUUUGUGAAAUUUUUACAUUUA